rnacentral:rRNA from 1 species
CGAGUCGGGACAAACGGUGACUUGCUCCCGGAUGUUAGCGGCGGACGGGUGAGUAACACGUGGGUAACCUGCCUGUAAGACUGGGAUAACUCCGGGAAACCGGAGCUAAUACCGGAUAGUUCCUUGAACCGCAUGGUUCAAGGAUGAAAGACGGUUUCGGCUGUCACUUACAGAUGGACCCGCGGCGCAUUAGCUAGUUGGUGAGGUAACGGCUCACCAAGGCGACGAUGCGUAGCCGACCUGAGAGGGUGAUCGGCCACACUGGGACUGAGACACGGCCCAGACUCCUACGGGAGGCAGCAGUAGGGAAUCUUCCGCAAUGGACGAAAGUCUGACGGAGCAACGCCGCGUGAGUGAUGAAGGUUUUCGGAUCGUAAAGCUCUGUUGUUAGGGAAGAACAAGUGCAAGAGUAACUGCUUGCACCUUGACGGUACCUAACCAGAAAGCCACGGCUAACUACGUGCCAGCAGCCGCGGUAAUACGUAGGUGGCAAGCGUUGUCCGGAAUUAUUGGGCGUAAAGGGCUCGCAGGCGGUUUCUUAAGUCUGAUGUGAAAGCCCCCGGCUCAACCGGGGAGGGUCAUUGGAAACUGGGAAACUUGAGUGCAGAAGAGGAGAGUGGAAUUCCACGUGUAGCGGUGAAAUGCGUAGAGAUGUGGAGGAACACCAGUGGCGAAGGCGACUCUCUGGUCUGUAACUGACGCUGAGGAGCGAAAGCGUGGGGAGCGAACAGGAUUAGAUACCCUGGUAGUCCACGCCGUAAACGAUGAGUGCUAAGUGUUAGGGGGUUUCCGCCCCUUAGUGCUGCAGCUAACGCAUUAAGCACUCCGCCUGGGGAGUACGGUCGCAAGACUGAAACUCAAAGGAAUUGACGGGGGCCCGCACAAGCGGUGGAGCAUGUGGUUAAUUCAAAGCAACGCGAAGAACCUUACCAGUCUUGACAUCCUCUGACAACCCUAAGAUAGGGCUUUUCCCUUCGGGG